AACUCGGAGCCCGGCGCAGUGGAAAGCGGGCCAAGAAGCAGAGGUCCAGGUUCCAACUCUUGAUUCUAUCACAAAACACUGCACCCGAGGCAGCCAGGCAGCUUCCGAAGACCUCGUUUUCGUUCUUGUUGCCCAGGCUGGAGUGCAAUGGCACAGUCUUGGCUCACUGCAACCUCCAUCUCCCAGGUUCAAGUGAUUCUUCCACCUCAGCCUCCCGAGUAGCUGGUGUUACAGGCACCCGCCACCACGCCUGGCUAAUUUUGUAUUUUUAGUAGAAACGGGGUUUCACUAUGUGGCCAGGCUGGUCUCAAACUCCUGACCUCAGGUGAUCAGACUGCCUCAGCCUCCCAAAGUGCUGGGAUUACAGGCAUAAGCCACCGCACCUGGCCAACAAUUUUUUAAGGAAAAGAAGAAAGGAAAAUUAUUGACCUCAGCUUCCACCUUAACUAGAAAAGACCAAAUGAAACCUAAAAUAAAAAGAAGAAAAGAAAUAAUAAAAAUCAGAGUUGAAAUCAAUGAAACAGAGAACAGAAAAUAAUAGAGAACAUCAAUGAAACAGAACGUUCUUGAGAAAAUUGUUAAAUUUAUAAAUUAUAGUUAGAUUGAUCAGGAACAAAAGAGAAAAUAAAAAUGACCAUUAUCACAAAUGAAAUGGAUAACUUUACUACACAUUCUACAGAUAUUUUUAAAGUCUGAGGCACAGACCUUUAAUAUAAAAACGCUUUAUAGUUCUGUCUAGGGACAUAAGAUCUCAGGAAAAAGAAAAGAAACAUCAGUAAAAGCACUUUUGCUCUGUUUUACAAAAUUGAAAAUCAAUCCCGUGCCUUGUCCAGGUUGUUUUAGGUACACGAGUGUAAAACUGUAUGGUACCCACUGUAAUAGACGAAGCCCAGCUUUCCAUUUGAUCAUGUGCUUAUGUUUUCAUCUAUGGGGUCCCCAGGACCCCUGCACACAGUAGGUGUGCAGUAAACGUUGAAUUCUCCUAAACACAUCCAUUCCUGUUUCUGGCAGAACUUUUGCAAACCCAUCCCAGUUGGAUGCAGCAACAUCAGAGGGGUGAUUACCCCCAAUUGCCAAAGAGGUUUCCAGCGCUGGAAGGAAAUUUGGAGAUCAAGGCCGAGUUGGCCUCAGCCAAGUGAAAUGGGAAUCAGGACCAUUACAAAGAAAUUCAAUUAAAAUAAAAGACACAUCAUAAACUUUGACUGGAAAACUCCAAAUGGAAUUAAUAUUACGUUGGUCAAAUUACCUAGAUAAUUGCUUUCAUUUUUCAUUGCAUCUUGAUAGAAAGGACCAAGCUACUUAAAAAUGAGUCCCAAAAUGUAUCCAUUUCAUCUUCUCAAUGACUCCUAAAACCCUCUCCAAAUGACUCAGAUGCAUUAGCUAGCUAUUGCCACAUAACAUAUUACCCCAAAACCUAACAGCUCAAAACUACAACAAACAUCCUCCCCAGCUUUUGAUAUUUGCUGUCUUUUUCAUUUCAGGCGUGGGCCGGGUGAGGAUGUAGUGAUUUCAUGUUGCGGUUUUACUUUGCAUCUUCCUAAUGAUCAGUGCAACUGAACACUUCUUCCAUGAUGGUUGACAAUUUAGCAACCCUCUUCUGUGAAGUAUCCCCAUCUGUCCAUGGGGUUGUCUGUCUUAUCCUUCAUAAGCUCUAGUUCUCUGUAUUGGCUGAAUACAAGUCCUGUUGGGGAUAUACACAUAUAUUGCAACUAUCCUUCCCACUCUCUUGACAGUGUCUGUUGAUGAACAGAAUUUCUUGUUUUCAAUACAGUUCAAUUUAUCAAUUUCUCAGUUAGCACUUUUGAGCACUGUUUUAAGAAAUCUUUAGGCCGGGUGUGAUGGCUCACACCUGUAAUCCCACCACUUUGGGAGGCCAAGGCGGGCAGAGUUAGGUUAGUGCACUUCUGUUUAGGGAGUUAGGAGUUAGUGCAGGUUAGGAGUUUGAGACCAGCCUGGCCAACACGGUGAAACCCCGUCUCUUAAUAAAAAUACAAAAAAUUAGCUGGGUGUGGUGGCGGGCGCCUGUAAUCCCAGCCACUUGAGAGGCUGAGACCAGAGAAUCGCUUGAACCUGUGAGCAUGGAGGUUGCCGUAAGCCAAGACCAUGCCGUUACACUCCAGCCUGGUGACAGAAUGAGACUCCAUCCCAAAAAAAGAAAAGAAAAGAAAGAAAGAAGGAAAGGAAAGAAGGAAAGAAGGAAAGAAGGAAAGAAGGAAAGAAAGAAAGAAAGAAAGAAAGAAAGAAAGAAAGAAAGAAAGAAAGAAAGAAAGAAAGAAAAGAAAAGAAAAGAAAGAAAUCUUUAUUUGCUCCAAGGAUACAAAGACGUCCUCCUAUAUUUUCCUCUAAAAGCUUGAUUUGUUUUCACUUUUCACACUUAGCUCUGCAGUCCGUAUGGAAUGGGUUUUUUGGUGUGGCGGGAGGUGGAUCAAGACAAGCCUUUCCCAUACAAAUCUCCAGUUCACCCAGAAUUAUUUAUCAAAAAGACCAUUCCCCCCUUCCCCCAACGAGGUAGGCUUCCUGUCACUUUUCUUGUUGCUAGAAGUGGAUUUUGGAUUGCUGGAAGUGAUUACAACAAUCUGACAUCCCCUUAGUGAUUUACACAUGUAUAUACAUCUACAUUAGCACUUGUGCCAAAGAUUAGAAACAUUUAAAUGUCCACAUAUGGAGUCAGAUGAAAUUAUGAUUACAUUGAGAUAACAGACCACCAUGAAGCCAUUGAAAAGCCUGAGUAGAUCUGUGUGCGUAGAUAUGAACAGUCUUGGGUUGUAUUAGUUACAUUUAAAAAACAGAGUUGGGCCGGGCGUGGUGGCUCACACCUGUAAUCCCAACACUUUGGGAGGCCGAGGCGGGCAGAUCACUUGAGGUCAGGAGUUCAAGACCAGCCUGGCCAACAUGGUGAAACCUCGUCUCUACUAAAAAUACCAAAAUUAGCCAGGCAUGGUGGUGGGCACCUGUAAUCCCAGCUACUCAGGGGCUGAGGCAGGAGAAUCGCUUGAACCUGGGAGGCCGAGGUUGCAGUGAGCCAAGAUUUCGCCACUGAACUCUAGCCUGGGCAACAAUCGCGAGACUUCAUCUCAAAAAAAAAUAGUAAUAAAGUAAAAAUAGGCCUGGCGCGGUGGCUCACGCCUGUAAUCCCAGCACUUUGGGAGGCCGAUGCAGGUUGGAUCACCUGAGGUCAGGAGUUUGAAACCAGCCUGACCAACAUGGUUAAACCCCGUCUCUACUAAAUACAAAAAAAAAUUAGCUGGGCAUAGUGGUAGGUGCCUGUAAUCCCAGCUACUCAAGAGGCUGAGGUAGGAGAAUGGCUUGAACCCAAGAGGCAGAGGUUGCAGUCAGCCGAGAUUACGCCAUUGCACUCCAGCCUGGGCAAUAAGAGUGAAACUCCAUCUCAAAAAAACAAAAAAUAAAUAAAUAAAUAAAUAAAUAAAAUAAAAAAUAGAGCUAAGUUCUCAUGUAGUAAAAGGGAAAGAAAAUGAGGAGCAGAAAAGCCUGAAUAAAAUGCAACAUUUGUGAAAAAACGUGGGUGUUGUAUACAUAUUCAUGACUGUUAUAUAAAAUAUCUCCACAGGCACCCACAGGAAAUGAUAGUGACAGUUGCCCUGGAAAGAAAUUUAGAGACAGGCACAGGAGGGAAACUGUCCUCCAGACGUAUUUUUAUAUGGUUUCAAUUCUUUUUUCCCAUGUGCAUGUAUUUCAGAUUUUUAUGUACUAACGUACACAUUUAUGUAUGUAAUGUACAUAUUAUAUAUUAAUGUACAUAUACAUUUAAUGUAUUAUACCUUAAAAUACCUUUUCAUUAAAGAUAAAGUCAGACAAACUUUUUUUAAAAAGUUAAUAUAUGCCCAUUAUUAAAAAAAAAAGUUGGACAAAAUAGAAAAGUGCAAAGAAGAAAAUAAAAUUAGCCCAGAUCCCAAUCCCCGCAAGUGACCACUAGCAACCUUUCAGUGUCUUUUCUCCCAGGCUCUUCUACAUCACUGAAAUCAUGGUGUAGGAAUACUCUUUUAUCCCACAACUUUCACAAAACUGUACCAGAUUUUCUGUGUCAUUAACUUCCUGCCCCAGCAUGCUCUGUGAUGCCGGCUGUUUCAAGUCCUUGCUAUAAGUGAUAAUGCUCUUAUCAGAGGUGUGUGAACCAGAGCAACUCCAUCUUGAAUAGGCGCUGGGUAAAAUGAGGCUGAAACCUACUGGGCUGCAUUCCCAGAUGGUUAAGGCAUUCUAAGACACAGGAUGAGAUAGGAGGUUGGCACAAAAUACAGGUCAUAAAGACCUUGCUGAUAAAACAGUUUGCAGUAAAGGAGCCGGCCAAAGCCCACCAAAACCAAAAUGGCCAUGAAAGUGACCUCUGGUUGUCCUCACUGCUACACUCCCACCAGCACCAUGACAGUUUACAGAUGCCAUGGCAACGUCAGGAAGGGGAGGCAUGAAUAAUCCCCCCUUUGUUUCGCAUAUCAUCAAGAAAUAGCCAUAAAAAUGGGCAGCCAGCAGCCCUCAGAGCUGCUCUGUCCAUGGAGUAGCCAUGCUUUUAUUCCUUC
rnacentral:lncRNA from 1 species